rnacentral:rRNA from 1 species
AGAGUUUGAUCCUGGCUCAGGACGAACGCUGGCGGCGUGCUUAACACAUGCAAGUCGAACGGAGAUGUUAGCAAUAACAUCUUAGUGGCGGACGGGUGAGUAACGCGUGGGCAACUUGCCUUGGACUGGGGGAUAACACAGGGAAACUUGUGCUAAUACCGCAUAAUAUCACGGGAGGACAUCCUUUUGUGAUCAAAGGA